AUGAUGACCGUCCUACCAUUUCCAAGGUAUAACCGGCCGGAGGGCAGGUUCUGCAUCUGGCCGUGUCUCCUCUCCAAAGAACAAGGCGACGACUUGUCCUACUUUUAUGUUCUGAUCGAGUCUUCAGAGGAGACCACUAAGGUUACGGUGCGAGUAUAUAUGUUGCAACAGGGUGUCUGGCGCACACAUCAUACCUUGGCCACUGACCAGCCAUCUCUUCCGCUAUGGGACCCAAAACUUGUGAUGGUCGACAGUAAAAUUUAUAUCACAGUUGCCCCGAGAAAUAUUAUGGUCUUGGAUUUGUCGGUCUCAAGUUGCUCUACAAUUUGUCUCCCACAGGGGGUGGAGUAUGGAGAUAGAGACGCCAUGUUGUCACGGGCAGAUGAUGCAUCUAGUGUAUAUCUUAUUCAAGUGAAGGAGCUUCAGCUUCAUAUCUGGCUCCACAAGGGGAACAACUGGCUGCUGGUGGACACCAUCUUUAUGAGUGAGAUGGUUGCUGAUUUGAGGAUGCAAGAUUACACUGUUGAGGAUGAGCAUAUUGAUGUUCUUCGGAUACUGCAGGUCGGGGACAACGCUGAGUUUGUGUUCUUCCAGAUGGGUCGAUGCAUACUGUAUCUAGAUAUCAAGGGCAAGACAUUGCGUAAAGUGUAUGAGAUGAAAGAUAAGGAUUCGUAUUCGGCUUAUUAUAUUUUUCCCUUCAAGAUGGUUUGGCCUCCUAUAUUUCCUGCACUGAAGCUGAACCUUCAAGAAUCGCCAUCUGAAGAACAAUAUCAUCCAGCUCAGUGA
rnacentral:rRNA from 1 species